UGGGGUGUAGCUCAGUUGGUUAGAGCAACGGACUGUUAAUCCGUGUGUCGAGAGUUCGAGUCUCUCCUCCCCAGCCA
rnacentral:tRNA from 1 species